AUCCCUUGACAUCCAGUGAAUUUUUCAGAGAUGAAUUAGUGCCUUCGGGAACACUGAGAC
rnacentral:rRNA from 1 species